rnacentral:sRNA from 1 species
CCCUAGCCCCGAUAGAAGUGAAAAUCCUUUUGUGCCUCGUUUCUUUAACGAGGCACAAAAGAUUGUAACGGAUAGCGGGAUUAGCU